UUGCAGCCAAUUAAGCCAACCAUGCUCUUUUCCCCGCGGGGGGCCCGGUGUGCAAUGGCUGCAAACAGCAGCCUCCUCCGUAUUGUAUGCAGCCUGUUGCCUGUAUGGGUUGCCCUAAGAGACCCUGGGAACAGCC
rnacentral:snoRNA from 1 species